UACGUAGGGUCCGAGCGUUGUCCGGAAUUACUGGGCGUAAAGAGCUCGUAGGUGGUUUGUCGCGUUGUUCGUGAAAACUCACAGCUCAACUGUGGGCGUGCGGGCGAUACGGGCAGACUGGAGUACUGCAGGGGAGACUGGAAUUCCUGGUGUAGCGGUGGAAUGCGCAGAUAUCAGGAGGAACACCGAUGGCGAAGGCAGGUCACUGGGCCGCAACUGACGCUGAGGAGCGGAAAGCAUGGGGAGCGAACAGG
rnacentral:rRNA from 1 species